rnacentral:rRNA from 1 species
ACGAACGCUGGCGGCGUGCUUAACACAUGCAAGUCGAGCGGUAAGGCCCUUUCGGGGGUACACGAGCGGCGAACGGGUGAGUAACACGUGGGUGACCUGCCCUCAGCUCUGGGAUAAGCCUGGGAAACCGGGUCUAAUACCGGAUAUGACUCCAUGACGCAUGUUGUGGGGUGGAAAGCCUUGUGCGGCUGAGGAUGGGCCCGCGGCCUAUCAGCUUGUUGGUGGGGUGAUGGCCUACCAAGGCGACGACGGGUAGCCGGCCUGAGAGGGCGACCGGCCACACUGGGACUGAGACACGGCCCAGACUCCUACGGGAGGCAGCAGUGGGGAAUCUUGCGCAAUGGGCGAAAGCCUGACGCAGCGACGCCGCGUGGGUGACGAAGGUCUUCGGAUCGUAAAGCCCUUUCUGCGUGACGAGAACGGACGGUAGCGCAGGAAUAAGU